CACCUACCAGUUGCCUCCCUAGAUCCUCGAUUGACGCCGCUUCCUCUCCGCCAGUCGCCGGACCACCUCCUCAGCAACACCGAACCACUAGAUAUUUAUGUGCGGGUGGUGGUUGUGCCCGGAUCUUUAUUUGCGGCGCCCUUUUCAUACUAAUGCGUCUUCUCGCCUUGAUAGUUUACUGGAGGCAAAAGCCAAGCAAGGGGUUCAGAUUUAUAUCCUGAUGUACAAAGAGCUCGCUCUUGCUCUGAAAAUUAAUAGUUUUUAUAGUAAGAAAAAGCUCGCUGCACUUCACGAGAAUAUAAGAGUUCUACGUCAUCCGGAUCAUUUCUCUAGUGGUGUCUUUCUAUGGUUAGAACAGGUGGUUCUGUUGCUAACAAGGAAAUUCUGGGAUUUGCAAAGUUAUUCAAUGACGAACUUACCCUUGAUAAUAUCAGCAGGCCUCGUUUAGUGAAUAUAUGCGAGUAUAUGGGGAUCCAACCUUACGGAAUAGACACACACUUGCGAUACAUGCUGCACAAAAUAUUACAAUGGUGUCUUUUUUGUUAUCAUUUAAAUAGUUGUUAAAAUGUUUGUACAUCAAUACUUAAUAGGUGAAUUUUUGCCUUCAUCAUAAAGCAAUCUUAUUUUGCCCUAUGUAACGGAAAUUUUAUGUAUGUUCUUUUUUUAAUAUACUUUCAUAAUGCAUUGUCCGAAUCUUUAAAUAUUGAGUUAUUUUAUGAUACUGACUUAAAAAGCCUGAGGCGCAGUAUGUAUGUGCAUACAUACUACAUCUUAAUCUCAUCCGAAUUUUAGGAAACUUCGGCAAAUAGCGGCUGAACCAGAAGCACACGGUUAGCCCUUUAUCUGCUCACUUAGUCAUUGCUCCGUGUAAGUUUUUUUGAACUUAGAAAGUUUCAUUGAUUAUUUAUUUGGUUGUAAACUUUUGUUUCUUGUGUGUUCAAUUUUGUUUAAAGUUAUUAUUGAGAUUAUCUCUCUAUGAAAAUGUUUUUAAAAAGAAAAGUGUAUGCCCUCCAGCACCAGCUGUUCGAGGGUAUAAUCUUUCAUGCUUUGCUAAAUCCAUAAACCGUUUAUUAGCCAUUUUUGAACUUGUUAUUGUAAUCGUACAAUGAUAUGGAACCUGUAAUGCUCAUGUUGAAAGUAGUUAGGAAAUUACCUUAGUCAAAAGCUCAAAGGUUGGUAGAUUACCUGCUUGGACCAUACAUUGAAGUUCGGUUAUUGCUAGCUGUGUUGGAGCUCGUGAUGCUCACACUCCAAAUCAAUUAGCUGUUAUGUUUAACAUAUUUUAUUCUUUUUUCUUUUUUAACCAUGGUCAUGCUCGCAUAGGACAAAAGUGGUGUAGCUCUUGUAGCUCAAGAGAAAGUUACAAAACCAAAAGUGGUGUAGCUCUUGUACUAAUUAUAUUUUAGGUUUUUUUUUUCAUCUUAAAUUAAGCAACUGCUAAUAUUUGAUGCUUUGAUAGAAUUUGGUUAUUACACAUGUUAAGAAGGAACUUGGUCUUGCAUUCAAGGGUAGUCAAAAGAUGGUGACUGAAGCACCAGAGGGAUCAGGAUAAGAAAGUGUGAUGUUUGGACUUGAAAUCUCUACUCACACUUCCUGUCGAUUAGUUGCCAAGGGGGGCCUUGGAGCGUGUUUUCAAGGCAACACAUGAGUAGCUUGUCGCCUACAAGGAUCAAGUAGGAUGUGUUAUUUUUGUAUUUUGUUCGUUCAGUGAGUCUUUUUUAGCUUUUUGUGCCCUCAUUUGGCAGUUAAUUAUAUGAAUAAAUCAAGUAUUUGACACUCGUUCAUUGGAACUUGAAUUAUCUAUGAAUUUUGAUGUAUGGUGAAUUUAAAACA